rnacentral:rRNA from 1 species
UACAGAGGUCUCAAGCGUUGUUCGGAUUCAUUGGGCGUAAAGGGUGCGUAGGUGGCGUCGUAAGUCGGGUGUGAAAUUUCGGAGCUUAACUCCGAAACUGCAUUCGAUACUGCGGUGCUUGAGGACUGGAGAGGAGACUGGAAUUUACGGUGUAGCAGUGAAAUGCGUAGAGAUCGUAAGGAAGACCAGUGGCGAAGGCGGGUCGUCUGGACAGUUCCUGACACUGAGGCACGAAGGCCAGGGGAGCAAACGGG